rnacentral:rRNA from 1 species
GCUAACUCCGUGCCAGCAGCGUGGGUAAUACGGGGGGUGGAAGCGUUAUCCGGAUUUAUUGGGUUUAAAGGGUCCGUAGGCGGACUUAUAAGUCAGUGGUGAAAGCCUGUCGCUUAACGAUAGAACUGCCAUUGAUACUGUAAGUCUUGAGUAUAAUUGAGGUAGCUGGAAUAAGUAGUGUAGCGGUGAAAUGCAUAGAUAUUACUUAGAACACCAAUUGCGAAGGCAGGUUACCAAGUUAUAACUGACGCUGAGGGACGAAAGCGUGGGGAGCGAACAGGAUUAGAUACCCGAGUAGUC